AAGGUUUUAAGUUAACUAAACUAAUAGCCUUCAAAGCUAUAAAUAAAGAAAUUCUUUAAGCCUUA
rnacentral:tRNA from 2 species